AACGUAGGGGGCAAGCGUUGUCCGGAAUCAUUGGGCGUAAAGCGCGUGUAGGCGGUCCGGUAAGUCCGCUGUGAAAGUCGGGGGCUUAACCCUCGGAUGCCGGUGGAUACUGUCGGGCUUGAGUACGGAAGAGGCGAGUGGAAUUCCUGGUGUAGCGGUGAAAUGCGCAGAUAUCAGGAGGAACACCAAUUGCGAAGGCAGCUCGCUGGGACGUUACUGACGCUGAGACGCGAAAGCGUGGGGAGCAAACAGG
rnacentral:rRNA from 1 species